rnacentral:rRNA from 1 species
UGGGGAAUUUUGGACAAUGGGCGCAAGCCUGAUUCAGCAAUGCCGCGUGCAGGAUGAAGGCCUUCGGGUUGUAAACUGCUUUUGUACGGAACGAAAAGCUUCUGGUUAAUACCUGGGAGUCAUGACGGUACCGUAAGAAUAAGCACCGGCUAACUACGUGCCAGCAGCCGCGGUAAUACGUAGGGUGCAAGCGUUAAUCGGAAUUACUGGGCGUAAAGCGUGCGCAGGCGGUGAUGUAAGACAGGUGUGGAAUCCCCGGGCUUAACCUGGGAAUUGCAUUUGUGACUGCAUCGCUGGAGUGCGGCAGAGGGGGAUGGAAUUCCGUGUGUAGCAGUGAAAUGCGUAGAUAUGCGGAGGAACACCGAUGGCGAAGGCAAUCCCCUGGGCCUGCACUGACGCUCAUGCACGAAAGCGUGGGGAGCAAACA